rnacentral:rRNA from 1 species
UACGUAGGGUGCGAGCGUUGUCCGGAAUUAUUGGGCGUAAAGAGCUCGUAGGCGGUGUGUCGCGUCGGCCGUGAAAACCUGCAGCUUAACUGUGGGCUUGCAGUGGGUACGGGCAGACUAGAGUGCGGUAGGGGUGACUGGAAUUCCGUGGUGAUAGCGGUGAAAUGCGCAGAUAGUCAGGAGGAACACCGGUGGCGAAGGCGGGUCUCUGGGCAACAACUGACGCUGGAGGAAGCGAAAAGCGUGGGGGAGC